rnacentral:rRNA from 1 species
GACGAACGCUGGCGGCGUGCUUUACACAUGCAAGUCGAACGGAAAGGCCCUGCUUGCAGGGUACUCGAGUGGCGAACGGGUGAGUAACACGUGGGUGAUCUGCCCUGCACUUCGGGAUAAGCCUGGGAAACUGGGUCUAAUACCGGAUAGGAGCCAUUUUUAGUGUGAUGGUUGGAAAGUUUUUUCGGUGUAGGAUGAGCUCGCGGCCUAUCAGCUUGUUGGUGGGGUAAUGGCCUACCAAGGCGGCGACGGGUAGCCGGCCUGAGAGGGUGGACGGCCACAUUGGGACUGAGAUACGGCCCAGACUCCUACGGGAGGCAGCAGUGGGGAAUAUUGCACAAUGGGCGCAAGCCUGAUGCAGCGACGCCGCGUGGGGGAUGACGGCCUUCGGGUUGUAAACGCCUUUCGCUAGGGACGAAGCUUUUUGUGGCGGUACCUAGAUAAGAAGCACCGGCUAACUACGUG